rnacentral:rRNA from 1 species
UACGAAGGGGGCUAGCGUUGCUCGGAAUUACUGGGCGUAAAGGGCGCGUAGGCGGCUUGUCAAGUCACUUGUGAAAUCUCUGGGCUUAACCCAGAACGGCCAAGUGAAACUGUCAUGCUAGAGUGCAGAAGGGGCAAUCGGAAUUCUUGGUGUAGCGGUGAAAUGCGUAGAUAUCAAGAGGAACACCUGAGGUGAAGACGGGUUGCUGGGCUGACACUGACGCUGAGGCGCGAAAGCCAGGGGAGCAAACGGG